CCUACUUAUUCUCUUCACUUUUCUUUCAACAGGAAAAAAUUCGAAAAAAUGGAGCAUGAUGUAACGGUACAAGACGAAGAGAGGACAACGAAAUUAGAAAAAGAAAAAGAUAGCAUCCGAACUUUAAAAGACGAUCUCAAAGACAAGGCAAAGAAAUUGGAAAGUCUAGAGGCUAAGACAAAAAACCUUCAGGAUCAACUUGCAGCCAAAA